GACAGAGGGUGCAAACGUUGCUCGGAAUUACUGGGCGUAAAGCGCGUGUAGGCGGGCGUGCAAGUCUGCUGUGAAAGCUCCUGGCUUAACCGGGAGUGGUCGGUGGAAACUGCACACCUGGAGGACGGUAGAGGUAGGUAGAAUUCCCGGUGUAGUGGUGAAAUGCGUAGAGAUCGGGAGGAAUACCUGUGGCGAAGGCGGCCUACUGGGCCGGACCUGACGCUGAGACGCGAAGGCGUGGGGAGCGAACGGG
rnacentral:rRNA from 1 species